rnacentral:rRNA from 1 species
GACGAACGCUGGCGGCGUGCCUAAUACAUGCAAGUCGAACGCAGUGGGGACGGGUGAGUAACACGUGGGUAACCUCCCCAUCAGAGGGGAAAACACUUGGAAAAAGGUGCAAACCCGCUACAGCUGGAUGUCCCCGCGGUGCAUUAGCUAGUUGGUGAGGUAACGGCGCACCAAGGCCACGAUGCCUAGCCGACCUGAGAGGGGGAGCGGCCACACUGGGACUGAGACACGGCCCAGACUCCUACGGGAGGCAGCAGUAGGGAAUCUUCGGCAAUGGACGAAAGUCUGACCGAGCAACGCCGCGUGAGUGAAGAAGGUUUUCGGAUCGUAAAACUCUGUUGUUAGAGAAGCGGUAUCUAACCAGAAAGCCACGGCUAACUACGUGCCAGCCGCCGCGGUAAUUC